rnacentral:tRNA from 1 species
GGAGAGGUGUCCGAGUGGCCUAAGGUGCAGCAUUGGAAAUGCUGUGUGGUUCACGCCACCGCGGGUUCGAAUCCCGCCCUCUCCGCCA